rnacentral:rRNA from 1 species
UUGACCUCAAAUCAGGUAGGACUACCCGCUGAACUUAAGCAUAUCAAUAAGCGGAGGAAAAGAAACUAACAAGGAUUCCCCUAGUAACUGCGAGUGAAGCGGGAAAAGCUCAAAUUUAAAAUCUGGUGGUCUUUGGCUACCCGAGUUGUAAUCUAGAGAAGCAUUAUCCGCGCUGGACCGUGUAUAAGUCUCCUGGAAUGGAGCGUCAUAGAGGGUGAGAAUCCCGUCUUUGACACGGACUACCAGGGCUUUGUGAUACGCUCUCAAAGAGUCGAGUUGUUUGGGAAUGCAGCUCUAAAUGGGUGGUAAGUUCCAUCUAAAGCUAAAUAUUGGCGAGAGACCGAUAGCGAACAAGUACCGUGAGGGAAAGAUGAAAAGAACUUUGGAAAGAGAGUUAAACAGUACGUGAAAUUGUUGAAAGGGAAACGCUUGAAGUCAGUCGCAUUGGCUAGGGAUCAACCUUGCUUUUUUGCUUGGUGCACUUCCUGGUUGAUGGGUCAGCAUCAAUUUUGAUCAGUGGAAAAAGUUCAAGGGAAUGUGGCAUCUUCGGAUGUGUUAUAGCCUUUGUUCGUAUACAUUGGUUGGGAUUGAGGAACUCAGCA